GAAAGGAAAUAAGAAAGAAGUGGUAGGAAGUGCUGAGCCAUCUGGAGGUGUGCGGAAGCUCACAAGGAGAAAAUUAAGAGAGACAAAAUUACAAAGAGAGACCCCACGUGCCAGCCAGGAUUACUGUAAUUAAGAAAGGAUGGCAUUCAAAGCUCGAAGCGUACUUGUAAAGCUAAAAUAUUGAAGAAAGGUAACGCUGCAACAACUGAAUCUGCCUCGCGGGAGGACCUAA
rnacentral:lncRNA from 1 species